UAAAAUUGAUACUUUAAGCUGGAAGAGCAUCAGUUAAGGAUAAAAAUAAGCUAAAAAUAUUGAUAGGUCAUGGACCUCCUUUUCGAGAUAUUUGAGAUUUGAAAUAUGGCGGGAAAAGGCUGACUCGGACUUUUACCUUAUAUUUGCAUUGGUAUUAUUAGGUCUCAAAACAAAAGAAAGAAAAUUUUGGUAAAUGACCUUUCAUGAGCUAUUUAGUCUUAUAUGAAAAAAUAAAUGGGUGUUAUGGGGAAAAA
rnacentral:lncRNA from 1 species